CUGCCCUUUAAUUCCAUCCCUCAUGUUGUGGUGACCCCCAACCAUAAAAUUAUUUUUACUGCUAAGUCAUAACUGUAAUUUUGCUACUGUUAUGAAUCAUAAUGUAAACAUCUGUGUUUUAUUAUGAUCUUAGGCAACCCCUGUGAAACAAUCUUUCAACCCUCAAAGGGGUCAUGACCUACAAGUUGAGAACCACUGACUUAGUUGUUUCUGUCAGCUGUUCUGUGAAUCUGAAAAGAAGGCAAGACAAUGCCUUUUCCAGUGCAUGCAACAAAGGAGGAGCCAUCUAACCUCUCCAGCCAUAGGAUUUACAUGACAACCUUAAUAGAAAAUCAAAAGCUGUUGAUUCCUUCCAGACUAAUACGGUUUGAUCAAGCAAGACCCCCUGAAGCUGAGACAAUACAGCCUUACAGACUACAGAAACAAGGACUUGGGAAAACUCAGGAACCAGAAGACAAUGAAAUUGGUCAGCUGCAAAAUGUGGGAGAGAUAAGAGAAAGUGAAAAGGAAAGACACGAUCUGUGCUUUCUUUUCUAAUUUGACUUCUGGUACAUACCGACUAAGGAAGUAGUCGAAGAUAGCUAAGUCAGAAGUUAGAAGAAGGGAAAACUGAAAGAAAUCUGAGACAAAGAACUCCAACUGUGUGUCAGCUGAAUAACAUUCCCUCAUCAAUGGAAAGAGAGACAGCCUUCUCAAUAAUAUAUGAGUAGAAUAUUUUAUGAGGUUGGAACAGAAUCCAAAGUUACCAAAAACAAAUUUUGAAGUCUUUCUUACUUAACUAGAUGUCCUAGUUUGCUUCCCGUUGCUGUGAUAGACACCAUGACCAAAAGUGAUAUGGGAAGAAAAGAACUUAUUUCAUCUCAUUGCUUACAGUCCAUCACGAAGGGAAGUCAGGGCAGGAACUUGGAGACAGUAACUGAAGCAGACGCCAUGAAGGAACUCAGGUUGCCAGUGUACUUUCCGUGGUUUGUUCACCUUGCCUUUUCAUACAAUCCAGGGCCACCUGGCAUGGGGUGGUACCACCCACAGUGGGCUGUGCCCCUUCCACAUCAAUCACUAAUUAAGAAAAUGACCCACAUAUUUGCCUUCAGGCCAAUCUGAUGGAUGCAAUUUUUUCAAUUAGGGUGAAAGCAAUGUGUGUUCUGGAGAAAUGGUAGACAAUGAGGCUGAGAAGAAGAAAGAUGAAAUGGAGACAUCUUGUUAUGUCAGAAAAUCAAAGAAGGUCUGAGUGCUUCCAGUGGUCAAAUGUUCGACAAUUUGAGUACAGAGAAAUCCACACUACAAUUAAUAUGAAUCAUUGAAGAAAGAGAAACCCCUACACAAAUACUUUUAUUAAGUAUAUAAAUACUCCUGAACUAUGUCAGGGAAAAGGGGAUUUAGAGUUAAAUGUUGGGGUAGAAAACAAUUAUUCUGGACACAUCAUAAAUUCAAUGGGAUCCUAGAAGAAACAGACACAGAUGCUAAACCCAUGUGCCCAGCUUGAUGGCUGCAGAGUGUAUAUGAACUCAACCUACCUAGCAACAAAGUGAUUUUACAUUAUAGGGAAAAAAUAAGUGUACAGAGAAGACAUUCAUUCAUACCCAAGCAAUGAUCCCAAUAAUAGCAUCAAUGGGAUCUGCACUUGCUGCUAUGAGGACAUCACAUCACUUUUGUCAGAUAAAAGUGACAGAAAUGAAAAAGGGCAGGUGUGAAUGAAGAAGUGCUCCCCCUAGCAAAGGAGCUAUGGUUGCUGCUGAGAAAGGGAAAGUCAUGUUUCUCCAAAGGAGUACUACCUCAUAUAUGGAUGUACUCCAAGGCAUUCUUACAUAGAGGAGGCAAUAUAAACUGGAUGAAUUUAAAGAAAAUGAGAGAGGGGAUAACACAAAGCUGUAUAGGAAGGGGUUUGGGGACAGAUCUGGAAGGAGCAGGGGUGGGAGAUGAAUACUAUCAAACUCCAUUUCACAACAUUCUCAAGAAUAAAUAAAACCGUUAUUAGAAAACUUUCAGAAUUGGAAUAGGAGUAUCAGGUUAUCUCUAUGCAGUAGGCUGACACAACAACUCUAACACAACUGUUUGAUGUAAAGCUCUUUGUUCUUCUGAAAUACGCUAUUGAAAGUAUCUGGAGGAGAUGCCCAUGCAGAUGCUAUUCCUGGUACAGGAAGUAUUAAGUGCCAACUUGCAUAGGCCAUGGUGCCUGGUGGUUUCUAUUAGAAACUAAGCUGGAUGUGUUAAGAAUAUGUAUAUGAUUAUAGCUUCAAUUAAUUGUCUUUCAGGAAAGCAGAUUGCCCUCAGUAACCUGUGUGUACUUUGCUCACAAAGUCCAUACCCUUAAGAGAAACCUCGAGUCUCUAGGCUCAGUUACAGUAACAGCUUCUUCUGAAAAGGGAGACCCAGGGGGUCUUGGGAUGAUGCAUUACACUACUGUUAAUACUGACUACAGUUUUAAGGAAUGGAAAAGGGGAAAUGACACAUACAUUUUGAGAGAGUUAGGAAAAGGAAGUUUGAGGAAGUGGACUAAAAGGAUGACCUCUCUACCACCAGAAUACACCUAUAGGAAACAUGACCAGUUAUAAAACAAAUAGUAGAAAUAGAAAUUACAAAAGAUAAAGAGUACUUCAUGGUGGUUGCUUCAGAGUAACAGAGAAGGGAAAAGGAGGAAAGCAAUUUUAAUAUUAAUGAUCACAUUACCAUAAAUAUACAUAUAUUAAUAAUCUUUGAUAUUAUUUUUAGUCAGAGUUGGGUUUAUUAAAACACAGUUUAAAAUUUUCAUUUUAUUAUUGUGUGCUGGGUGCACAUAUGAUGUGAGUGUACAUGUCACAGUGGGCAUGCUGAGCUCAGAUAAGAACUUUUAUGAAGUGAUCUCUCUUUACUCAUAGGUUACAUGGAUCAAGUUCAUGCCAUAUUACUCAUACAGCUAACACUUUUCUUCACAAAGCCAUUUCUUUGGUCCUGAAAGAUAAUUUCAAUACAGAUUUUUGAUCAUUA
ensembl:lincRNA